UAGCUUAUGAUGAAUAUUACCGCCCCAGUCUGAUACCUGAUGACUGGUUACGUUCUGAAGCAG
rnacentral:snoRNA from 1 species